rnacentral:rRNA from 1 species
UACGAAGGGGGCUAGCGUUGUUCGGAAUUACUGGGCGUAAAGGGCUCGUAGGCGGCCAACUAAGUCAGACGUGAAAUCCCUCGGCUUAACCGGGGAACUGCGUCUGAUACUGGAUGGCUUGAAUCCGGGAGAGGGAUGCGGAAUUCCAGGUGUAGCGGUGAAAUGCGUAGAUAUCUGGAGGAACACCGGUGGCGAAGGCGGCAUCCUGGACCGGUAUUGACGCUGAGGAGCGAAAGCCAGGGGAGCAAAGCGGG